rnacentral:rRNA from 1 species
CCUACGGGAGGCAGCAGUGAGGAAUAUUGGACAAUGGGCGCAAGCCUGACCCAGCCAUGCCGCGUGCAGGAUGACGGUCCUAUGGAUUGUAAACUGCUUUUGUACAGGAAGAAACAGUUCUACGUGUAGAACCUUGACGGUACUGUAAGAAUAAGGAUCGGCUAACUCCGUGCCAGCAGCCGCGGUAAUACGGAGGAUCCAAGCGUUAUCCGGAAUCAUUGGGUUUAAAGGGUCCGUAGGCGGUUUAGUAAGUCAGUGGUGAAAGCCCAUCGCUCAACGGUGGAACGGCCAUUGAUACUGCUAAACUUGAAUUAUUAGGAAGUAACUAGAAUAUGUAGUGUAGCGGUGAAAUGCUUAGAGAUUACAUGGAAUACCAAUUGCGAAGGCAGGUUACUACUAAUGGAUUGACGCUGAUGGACGAAAGCGUGGGUAGCGAACAGGAUUAGAUACCCUGGUAGUCCACGCCGUAAACGAUGGAUACUAGCUGUUGGAAGCAAAUUUCAGUGGNGUAGACGAAGUAGAGUAAGUAUACCACCGUACGGGUAGGUACGUUACGUCGAAGAAGUAGAAACGUAACGAAAGAAAGUUAGUACGGACGUGAGACGUGACCGAACGGACGACGACGAGGGAGGAGG